GAUGAACGCUGGCGGCGUGCCUAAUACAUGCAAGUCGAGCGAAUGGAUUAAGAGCUUGCUCUUAUGAAGUUAGCGGCGGACGGGUGAGUAACACGUGGGUAACCUGCCCAUAAGACUGGGAUAACUCCGGGAAACCGGGGCUAAUACCGGACAACAUUUUGAACCGCAUGGUUCGAAAUUGAAAGGCGGCUUCCGCUGUCAAUUAUGGAUGGACCCGCGUCGGAUUAGCUAGUUGGUGAGGUAACGGCUCACCAAGGCAACGAUGCGUAGCCGACCUGAGAGGGUGAUCGGCCACACUGGGACUGAGACACGGCCCAGACUCCUACGGGAGGCAGCAGUAGGGAAUCUUCCGCAAUGGACGAAAGUCUGACGGAGCAACGCCGCGUGAGUGAUGAAGGCUUUCGGGUCGUAAAACUCUGUUGUUAGGGAAGAACAAGUGCUAGUUGAAUAAGCUGGCACCUUGACGGUACCUAACCAGAAAGCCACGGCUAACUACGUGCCAGCCGCCGCCGUAA
rnacentral:rRNA from 1 species